GUAAAGUUUGUCCUCUUCAUUCAACCUUCUCAUUAAGCAUCUCCAUUUACUCUCUCCGCCAUCUCUCCCACUACGUUCAAUUUAAUGACCCUUUCCAAACUCACUCUUGAAAUCCCCAAUUUCUGAGAUUAUAAAUAAGUGAUAUUGUAGACGUCUAAAAAGUGUGUUCCAACUUCCUCCGAGAUCCAUCACUUGAUUUUAAAUACUUUUUGAAAACUUGGACUCGUAAUUUAGCUAUUUGAGCAAAAAGAUAUGAAGACUGAAGAAAUAAUUAACGUAAAUCAUCUAAUAUUUUCUUGCACCACGCAUUUAUUGCUAAUAGAGCUAUAUUCAUGUUCUUGUCUUUGUGCUUCUUCUGUACGUUGAUCCAGAGUACAAAGACUAUGGAGGUCAUGAUGCACACAGAAGAGACAUAGAUGGUGCUUUUGAUAUUUUCCAGUUGGCUACGUUGAGGCAUAAGGUUGAUAGAGAGACCGGCGAUUCCAUGAAUCCGAUAGAAACAAAGCCAGCGGACAACAACAGCAGUCCCUGGAGUCCAAUGCCCACAAAUGGGAAACGAGAUGGAACAGACAAACGGAGGCUAGAUUUAAAUGCAAACAUCAAACUAAUACAGCCUAAAAAACAGAUCAAAAGAACCCAGAAAUUAAAGAGCAAAUUGCAUGAGGACCUCAAACUCCUUAGAUGAAACAAAUCGAACAGGCCAUAAAAGCCAAAUCAACAACUUGCGAUACCUCCCACAGUGAAUAGCUCAGACGAAAUAAGAACACAUGCUUCGAAGACCAGCAAGACAGAUCACUCAGGACAUAAGUCUUGAACCGGAAGGCGACGUCGAAGAAGGACCGACGGAAACGCCAAAUUGAAGCACGACAAGAGAAUAGAUCUCGAUCGGAUCUUUUGGGUUGAAGACAGGGAGCGCACCAGUCAACUCUGGCUUAAACCUCACUCGGAUAUCCGAGAAGGAAGAAGAUCGAUACCAGAGAAGAUCAAGGAGGG